AGCGAACGCUGGCGGCAGGCUUAACACAUGCAAGUCGAACGGGCGUAGCAAUACGUCAGUGGCAGACGGGUGAGUAACGCGUGGGAACGUACCUUUGGUUCGGAACAACCCAGGGAAACUUGGGCUAAUACCGGAUAAGCCCUUACGGGGAAAGAUUUAUCGCCGAAAGAUCGGCCCGCGUCUGAUUAGCUAGUUGGUGAGGUAACGGCUCACCAAGGCGACGAUCAGUAGCUGGUCUGAGAGGAUGAUCAGCCACAUUGGGACUGAGACACGGCCCAAACUCCUACGGGAGGCAGCAGUGGGGAAUAUUGGACAAUGGGCGCAAGCCUGAUCCAGCCAUGCCGCGUGAGUGAUGAAGGCCCUAGGGUUGUAAAGCUCUUUUGUGCGGGAAGAU
rnacentral:rRNA from 1 species